rnacentral:rRNA from 1 species
CAGUAGCCACGGUAAUACGGAGGGUGCAAGCGUUAAUCAGAAUUACUGGGCGUAAAGCGCACGCAGGCGGUUUGUUAAGUCAGAUGUGAAAUCCCCGAGCUUAACUUGGGAACUGCAUUUGAAACUGGCAAGCUAGAGUCUUGUAGAGGGGGGUAGAAUUCCAGGUGUAGCGGUGAAAUGCGUAGAGAUCUGGAGGAAUACCGGUGGCGAAGGCGGCCCCCUGGACAAAGACUGACGCUCAGGUGCGAAAGCGUGGGGAGCAAACAGGAUUAGAUACCCGAGUAGUCCCUGUCUCUUAACA